rnacentral:misc_RNA from 1 species
GUCGCUACAGUAGCCUACCUGUAUAGUUAAUGGUGAUCAGAUCAACGUCCUAUUUACCUGACAUCAACGUAUUUACUUGACAUAUUCAAUAGAUAAUCUAUUAAUACAUUUUUCAUUAAGUUAGAGGAUAUUGAAUUCCAAGUGUGGAUUUUGCUCUGUGGGGUAGUCACGAAGGCACCGUCACGAAGAUGAAGAAACCAAAACUUUGGGAAGAGGUGCGUUUAUCCGUGCGACGCAAAUAGUAUGUUGACAUUUACCUUUCGUGGAUUUUAACGUAAUCUGAUUAUCGUACAAAGAAACUAAAAUGGAAUUAGAAUAUUCCAAAAGAAAAUAUCUAAAUUCAAUCCCGAGUACAAACAGGGCUCAUGUACCGUGUAUUGUAGUAUAUUGUUGAACGUUCGUAUCCUCGAGACAAGGAGUCAAGCCCAACACUCAAGAGUUCAAGUUAAUAACAAUGUUUUGUAUUCAACUCUACGACAAAUCUUAACACUAGAUAAUGAUAAUGUGUAAAGAGAGCCGAAGAUGACAUUGAUAUGGCGCUGAAAGUCAACAAGUUUAUUUAAGAACAGAUUGUUUGUUUGGAGGUUGUCUAACAGCACUCGAACAAUAAACGUAGCAAAUCUAUUAAUCGAAUGAACGAAAUUGAUUGAAAGUUGAAAUUGGAAACGUCAUGUUAUUUUAACCUCUGAACGCUCGCUGUGAUUAUUCAAUGGAGUCGACGUGACGUUAACAACAAUCAGCUUUUGCUUGUGAAGUUGUGACACGUGUAAACUUACAAAAAACUGAUGUGAAACACGUUUUGUGAUUCAACAAGAAAAUGGACUGGUACAUUUGGAUUCUUUGCUCCAUCCUAGCUCAACCCUAGUUCCAAACAACGGAAUGACAAUAAACAAUUUUAUCCACCAUUUAUAACAAAGAGACAGCUCAAGACUAUAGUAAGAUCAUAUAUUAAGUUGGAUAACCAUAUCACAAACGAAAAUGGACAUAAGGCUAAAGAACGACCAGAUGAAGCGAGUGGAGCAAACCCGGGUGCAGAACAAAAGAGUAGAGAGACAAUUGGCCAACACAAUAGAAAGCAGACACGGUAUAGAGGCUACCCAUAAGUAUGAGCUUGAAUCGAUGGACAGAGAGAAACGACGGAUAGAAGCGGAGUUAGAGCAGAUGAGGAGCUCUCGAACCAAACUGACCAGCCUUAACAUAGUCAGGCCGUCCCAAGCGUCCCAGCAAAGCGCAGGGAAGCGAGACGGUAACAGUUCCAAGGCACGUAACACCAUCAAAAUCCACAACGAAACCGAAUAUAAACGAGCUCAAGAUCGGAUUAAGAAUUUUAACGAGAGCUUUAUCCCGGAAGGUGCUACUGCUAUCAAGAAGGAGCUACAUACUAAUGGUCAUAUCCAUACGGAAAUACAAAUGGAAAAACGAAAAUCGAAACCACACGUGACUCCGAUUACAAAUGUCAAUAUAGAUGUAGCAAAGGGUAGCGUAGCAAAACGACUCAGUAAACACUCCCCAAGGCGGGAUCCUACAACAGUAGGUAUUCAAAAUAAUGUGAAACCCCAACAGAAAGGGAAUCUUGCCCCACUCGGUCUGGAACACAAAACAACUCCGCCCUUUUUGAUGGCAUCAGGACAAAAUGUUGGCAAUCACUUUAAUACCAGACUUGAUACAAACAAACAAGUACAAAAAAUAUCCCCUAAUCAGAAGCUACAGAGCCUCAAUGAGCAUGGUUAUAUAAAAGACAAGAACGGCAAUAUUCUCAGCAGCAAUAAUAACGUUCUUUCUGAUUCCAAUGACCUAAAAGGCGUCUCAAAAGUUGUGAUAAAACCUCUAGCAAAAAGUCAAGGUGAUUUAUCCCCGCUAUCCCUAGGGGACACAAAGCAUAAUGCAUCCCCUCGUCGUGGCAGUUUUCAGUCAAAUAAGAAUACAAAGUUAAACAGUAAUCAAGACAGACGGGAUAGCAUCCCAGCGCGUCGUGACCCAGUAAAACCAGUCACUAUACCAUCCGUACAUAUACAAGCUAGCGAUGAUGUACCGAACCCUAUAUUUGAUGUGGAAUCUUACAACCCUGAUGGUACUCUGCGGACGCUCCAUACACUCCCUGAUCAGGAUGACGCUUUUGAAGAGGCUCGCAAAGCUAGAUAUCUGCGAACCAAAGAAAGGACAGAGAAAGAUAGAGAACUAACUGUUACGGAAAUAUUCGAUUGUAAAUCUUCAUUUUCAAUGCACUCCAGCUCCAGUGUAGAGAGUAACCGCGAGACAUGAUGUGAUUAUUAAAUAAAUUGUAUAUUUUCAUACAAUAAUACAUUCUCGUACAUAAUAAGUCUACGUUGAAUUUCAAUUUAUUUCUGUAAAUAUGGUUUUACACAUGUUGCAAUUUGCAAUUCAAUAUAGUCUAGCUACAAGCCCUUGCACACGCUUUGUGUGAGGUGUUUAGUCAAGUAAAGGGGGCACAGAGGCUUGUGGCUAGACCACAAUUCAAGAUGUUUUUCUUAUUUGACCUUUUUAUAAUUAACACUUAUACAAAACGAAAUCAAUUUUGUAUAUGUUUAUUGAUAGAAGUAUAUUCAUAAAUUAUAAUGAAUCACUAGUCAUCGGGUUGUUCGAAUAGUUCCAUAUACCAACCAUGGACCCACCGAUUAUAGCUGCCUUCAUUCUGGAAUAUACAUGAAACUCAUGAAGAUAUGAA